rnacentral:misc_RNA from 1 species
AACUCACUUAGCGACCUCUCAUCAAAAGAUCUCUGCCUCUCUAUGUUAAUCCUUGGCUUAUCAAGAAGUUUCGAGAGAUCAAAGUCAUCCAUCUCCGAAAUGGAGCAGUGAGAGCUAACAUUUUUCAAUCCACUACCUUCCAUCCUUGCUCUUAAAACCUUAGCUGAGAGAAUAAAAGGUAGUAUUCUGCCGGAAAUAAUGGAGUCGGAAGCCGGCGAUAUAGCCAGAAAAAUAAAAAUAGAAAUAGAGAGAGAAG